rnacentral:rRNA from 1 species
GAGAAUCCUCGGUCCGCAGCUAACGCAAUAAGCACUCCACCUGGGGAGUACGACCGCAAGGUUGAAACUCAAAAGGAAUUGACGGGGGCCCGCACAAGCGGUGGAGCAUGUGGUUUAAUUCGAAGCAACGCGAAGACCCUUACCAAGGCUUGACAUCCCGAUGACCGCUCUAGAGAUAGAGCUUCUCUUCGGAGCAUCGGUGACAGGUGGUGCAUGGUUGUCGUCAGCUCGUGUCGUGAGAUGUUGGGUUAAGUCCCGCAACGAGCGCAACCCUUAUCUUCAGUAGCCAUCAUUCGGUUGGGCACUCUGGAGAGACUGCCGUGGAUAACACGGAGGAAGGUGGGGAUGACGUCAAAUCAUCAUGCCCCUUAUGUCUUGGGCUACACACGUGCUACAAUGGCUGGUAACAAAGUGACGCGAAACGGCGACGUUAAGCAAAUCACAAAAACCCAGUCCCAGUUCGGAUUGUAGUCUGCAACUCGACUACAUGAAGCUGGAAUCGCUAGUAAUCGCGAAUCAGCAUGUCGCGGUGAAUACGUUCCCGGGCCUUGUACACACCGCCCGUCACACCAUGGGAGUUGGAAGCACCCGAAGUCGGUGACCUAACCGUAAGGAAGGAGCCGCCGAAGGUGAAGCCAGUGACUGGGGUGAAGUCGUA